UACGGAGGGUGCAAGCGUUAUCCGGAUUCACUGGGUUUAAAGGGUGCGUAGGCGGCGCGGUAAGUCGGGUGUGAAAUCUCGGGGCUUAACUCCGAAACUGCAUUCGAUACUGCCGUGCUUGAGGACUGGAGAGGAGACUGGAAUUCUCGGUGUAGCGGUGAAAUGCGUAGAUAUCGAGAGGAACACCUGCGGCGAAGGCGGGUUGCUGGGCCGACACUGACGCUGAUGCGCGAAAGCCAGGGGAGCGAACGGG
rnacentral:rRNA from 1 species